rfam:Octopus bimaculoides Scaffold9804_contig_181, whole genome shotgun sequence.
UUAAAGGAUUUUUUAAAAUCCACAAAUUAAUCUUCGUAGAAAAUGG